rnacentral:rRNA from 1 species
AAUAUUGGACAAUGGGCGCAAGCCUGAUCCAGCCAUGCCGCGUGAGUGAUGAAGGCCUUAGGGUCGUAAAGCUCUUUCGCCAGGGAUGAUAAUGACAGUACCUGGUAAAGAAACCCCCGGCUAACUCCGUGCCAGCAGCCGCGGUAAUACGGAGGGGGUUAGCGUUGUUCGGAAUUACUGGGCGUAAAGCGCGCGUAGGCGGGUUGUUAAGUUAGAGGUGAAAUCCCCGGGGCUCAACCCGGAACUGCCUUUAAUACUGGCAACCUAGAGUUCGAGAGAGGUGAGUGGAAUUCCGAGUGUAGAGGUGAAAUUCGUAGAUAUUCGGAGGAACACCAGUGGCGAAGGCGGCUCACUGGCUCGAUACUGACGCUGAGGUGCGAAAGUGUGGGGAGCAAACAGGAUUAGAUACCCUGGUAG